AUAUACAUGCAUAUGUGUGAGUACUUGAGAUUUGCUUCACCUGCUCUUCUACCAUGGAUGACACAAAGCUGUUUAUGUAUUAUUGUAGCUGGAGCAGGUUUGGGAACUCAGGUGUUCUGCCUUCCUGGCCAGUAUGUGACCCCUCGACUGGAGAGUCACACAGGGUCUUUCUCGCACUCAAAUUAUAGCAUCAUCACUUAUGCCACGUGCAGUGUGACUGCUUCAGGGACACCCUUACUACGGUGUGGCCUCAGAUCCCACUUCAGGCUGUCUCUGAGAGAUGGCGGAGGUGGGUUUGCACUUACCUGGGAUCUAGGGGCAGGUUUUCCUUAUCUUCUGUAAUCACUAAGCUAUUGUGUAACAGGACUUUUCUCUUCCUCCUCUAAGUAAAAUAACAGCUGCUGCAAUACUUCCUCCAGUGCUUGCUCCUAGAGGUGUAGGGAGUGUGUUCACAUGCCACGCAGCACUAGAAAGCAUGCACAGUGGCACCGGAGGUAUCACAGGGCAUGGGGCACAGAGCAGUUGCUGGUGAUGCUGGGUCAUGUGCAGAUACCAGAGAGUGUACUGAAGAACUCUGCUGACAAAGACGUUGAGUCUGUUUUGCCUGUGACCAUAAGUGGUUCCAGGACGUGUGGAAGGAUACUGUGUCCCUUCACUGGUGUGUCACUUCUCUGCCCAGUCGGGAUCAGGAGGGAGAGUGGCAAUGGUGAUGGCACGGAGACAGUUCAAGGCGUAUAAUCCCACAUAGGAACUCUCCCUUCUGUGUAGGCAAAGGAAUAGGGGCUAAAAGUCCCGGCAAGACAGAAAAGAAGGGGCUCAUUUCUCACUGGGGUAAACCAAGAAGGGGGGAGCCUGAGAGUUUGUCUCUGAAUUUGCCUAUUUCAGUUUGUAAACAUAAUGAGUUGUGAACAAGAGUGUUCGGAUCAGGUUUUCUUUACAAAUGAAGAAAGACUCUUCUGCAACCUUGCACUAUUAUCUGUACAAUAACAACACCCGGUUCUGUACAGCUGUUUGAAAUGAGUAGAACUGAUGUUGAAAAAUGAAAUAAAAACAUCAUUAAAUUAACUGCAUAACAUCCAGAUCAAUAUACCUUUCUAUGAGCAGAAUAGCAGGUGCUACUCUGGUUCAUGGCAACCAGUUGCUCAAUGGCUACCGAUAAGUUAUAGCACCAGAUAAAGCUGUGAAAAUGCCAAGGGAAGACUUUCUUUUUUUGAAAUAUCACCAUGAAAUUCCAUCUAGAAUAGAUUCCCCACAGGGGAUCUUAAGCUAGAAAUCCAGAGAUACCUAGAAAUAGCUUUAAACAAUGAGCAAAAAAUGAUGAUAAAAAGCUGUUUGUAUUUCAUGUAGGGGAAAAUAAGUGUUUUUUCAAAGACACUUCAUUUCCAGUAACAUCCAUUUCAGGAAGGUAAAUACUGUAACCACUUCACUGUGUGAAAGUUCUUGUUUAUUAUGGUCUGUGUGAGCCUUUUUUUGGCCAUGCAUACAGAAUAAGGAAUUCUGCUCUCAAAGCCUUAAAAGCUCUGGUGCUAGUGAAUACAUGAGGGUAAUGCUGCUAACAAAAAUCACUUCCUUUUUUUGACCCGUUGCCUCUUUAUCCCCUUUUGAGUGACUAGUGUUAACAUCGUUGUCCACAUGUAUUCAUGCACAGGAGCUUUUAAUCUCAGCUUUCCUGCACUGAGUAGCUGUGCAUAUGUGAACACAUGGUUGCUGUCAUAUUAGAAGAUGGUGAAAUGACUUCUGCCCCAAGUAUUCUCCUGCCAUUUACUCUUUUCUGGAGUGUAUUCACAUAAAUGUUCUUUCCAGCUUUGUUUAUUUGGUAAUGUAUAAGCAGUUACAUCCUGCUAUUGAAAUUAUUUUUUGCUUAAUAUUGAAUGAAUAUAAUAUACAUUAUACACAUGAAUAUAGUAUGCAUUAUACAUAGGUACUAAUGCUUGUUGUUAGCUACUGGUUUAGAAACAGCAAAAAAUGUAUAGGGCCUUAUCAAGUUAUAUAAUUCUUGAUGUCUGCCUUGAGCAUUGUAACCCGAUAGUGUCAAAAUAGAAACCUGCAUGGUUAUUCUUGCAAAAUAAGGGUAAAGGAGUAGAACUACCAAAAAUGCAUUGGAACACAAGGAAAGAUAUAUAAUCAAAACAUACUCUCAGCUAUAUUAAAAAAAAAAUUACUGGAUUGAACUUAAUGGUAUGCUUGUAUAUGAAGUGAGAAAUACAUUAGUUCUGAAGAAAUGUAGCAAAUUCUGUUUUAUAGAACAGUUUUCAGAACAUAAAUUGUACAGUUCAUUGGUCAGAUUGAUUUCUUUGCAUUACGGUCAAAACUAUCUUUGGCAUGGUUUGUGAGUAACAUCCUGCUGAAUAUAUUUUUCAUUCUUGCGUCUGCAAAAUAAGAGUUGUUUUUUAUUUAUGCAAGAAGCCUAAUCAAAAUAGUGUAUAAUGUAGCUCUGAACCAGAUAAGGA